CUGGCUCUGCAUGGAGGAGACAGUGUAACCGGGGAGGGCCACAGGUAGGCAGAGUUACAUGGCCUAGUAAGAAUACAUAUAUUUGAUUUACUACACGGAUAGACAAAAUUUACAUAUAAAGGAUCAUAUGGGACAAAUAAAUGAAACAAGGAACAGACCGUACAGUAGCCAUUCCAGGCUUCGUAGGCUGUGUGCAGCUCUGCAGCUAUUCACCUGUGCCUGUGGAGCUCACCAGUCAUAGCAAGAUGUAUGGCAGAAGUUUUUAUUUUCCUUUUUAAAAAGUAUGCAAGUCAGAUUGCAUAAAGCUUGCCAAUCUUUUACUCUUCCUGUGUUCUCAGGUUCCCUAACCAAAUCAACUUUAUGGUAUAUUCACAUUUAGAGUUUUGAAAGCCACUUCCAUUAUUUAUUACCUUUGCUAAGUUUCCCCAGGUGCGUGAAGAAGGCAGGCAUAAUAUUAUUCCCUUUUAUGAAAGAAAGCUAAGUGAUGUAGCUGAAGGGCUAGUGGCUAACCCAGUUUGUAGAGUGUGCGUCUUUCACAAAUAAGCCCUAGAGUCAGUCCUGAUAUCCAGAAUGGAUCUGGGAUCUCACGUCUUGAGAGGAGUCAAAGGGUUCAGAAAUUCAAGAUCAUCCUUUAGCUACAUAGAGUUUUAGGCCAGCUUAAGCUGUAAGAGACUGUCUCAAAUGAAACAGACGGACAGACAAACAAACAAUAUAUCUUAAGUGAUUUAGCUAAUUCAUUCUCAGAGGUGGAAUCGUGUAAAUUUUAGGCUGCUGACACCUGGUUUAGUGCUCUUCCCUAUGUUUUACAUUGCUGUGGUACAUUUAACUAGAGGAGACUGUAUAUAUAAAGUACCUUUUAUUGUGUGUGGGAGAAGAGGAAAAUGAAAGGAAAAAAUCAAUUCCUGUGAUUUUGUUGUUGUUGUUAUUGUUCUUAUUUUACUCUUACGGCUUUUUUUUUUUCAAUACAGAUUAAAAGGGAAUGUUUUAGAACUGUAUUCUUAUAAUGUAGCCCUGGAAUCCUGUCAGCUGGUGGUAUAUCUCAGCCCAUAAUUGAAUACUAUUUAGACUUAAACAAAUUAAACAGUGAAUGAAAAAUAUCCUCAUUCUAUGAGAAACACAAGAGAAAAUUUGGAGAACAUUUCCUAGUUGUUUUUCCAAACAUGGAUGGAAGUUAACUAUAAAGGAACUUUUACUUUGAAAAGGCUUUAAAUUCAUAAGCCAGGUCUGGUGGCUUACACCUGUAAUCCACGGGCUCAGGAGGCUGAGACAGGAGUGCUGUGAGUUCAGGGCAAGCCUGGGCCACAUAGUAAACAAUAACAAGCACGCACGGGCGGAGACCUUCCUCUGUUACCUCAUACACAGUACAACACUGAGGUCCAGGAGAGUCUGGGCUACAAAAUGAAGCCCUGUCUUAAACAAGCAAAUAAAUAAUCCAGGCAUGGUGGUACAGGCCUAGGGCAGGAGGGUUGAAAAGCUAAGACCUGUCUAGGCCGUAGAAUGAGUUCAGGACCAGCAGAGACCCUGUCUCAAAACACAAAAAUUCAAAUGGAUCAGUUAUAGCUCAAUGGCAGUGCACUUGCCUCACAUUUCCAAGGCCCUGGGUUCAAUCCCUACUGGCAAACAAACAAACAAACAAACAAACUCACAAGAACGAUCUGGAAACAUCAAAUAUAGGCAGUGGCUUAAUGGUUAACCUGAGUGUUCUUUUCCCAAUACUCUUGUCAGGCUGCUCGGUCACAUGUAAUUCUUUUUUUUUUUUUUUUUUUUUUUUUUUUUUUUUCUUUUUCUUUUUUUCGGAGCUGGAGACCGAACCCAGGGGCCUUGCGUUUGCUAGGCAAGUGCUCUACCACUGAGCUAAAUCCCCAACCCCCACAUGUAAUUCUUAAGCGACGGCAUUACGGUCGUCCUGGUUCCAAACUUUCCGUUUUUUUUUUUUUUUUUUUUUUUUUGUAAGCAGAGAAACUUUUGCAUAUAUACAAUGCACAUACAUUUCCUGUACAAGGGAAUAAGCGUGUCUCCAGUGAGGUUGGUUACGUACAUACCACUCAUUCUCACAGAUGUGUGUCUUUAGACAAUAUCUGUAGUCAGGAUUCAUAAGAUGGGGAUGACUGCAUGCCCUAUGAUUAAAAGUACAUAAUUUGGGGUUGAGGAUUUAGCUCAGCGGUAGAGCGCUUGCCUAGCGAGCGCAAGGCCCUGGGUUCGGUCCCCAGCUCCGAAAAAAAGAAAAAGAAAAAAAAAAAGUACAUAAUUUUUUUUUUUUUUUAAAAUAUGGAACGCUUCACGAAUUUGCGUGUCAUCCUUGCGCAGGGGCCAUGCUAAUCUUCUCUGUAUCGUUCCAAUUUUAGUAUAUGUGCUGCCGAAGCGAGCACCAUAAUUUUUAUAUUGUUACUUUGACUAAAAAUGUAUCAGUGAGGGGAACCUGGUUGUUCCCCCUCAGUCAUUGAGGGCUCUUGGGAUGGUUUCAGGAGGUUCUUCUGAAGGAAUUAAAACAGAUAUAUGCUUUCUAGGCCUGUGAGGGGCUUUUGGGGGGGCAAAAAAGUUUUAUGGUUGUAUAACUCUGAAAUUAUAUACUGAAUUGUAAAUUUUACAAGGCUAAAUUUUAUAGUAUGUGAAUUAUAGCUCAAAAUUUGUUUUUCUUUAAUGUAAUCAGAGUUUUGCUUCCCAGGCUUACCAUGAAUUUCUGGACCCAAGUGAUGCUUUUGUUAAUUUCCUCAAUAGCUGGGACUAUGGGUGUGUACCCCAGCUGUAUAGUUCAUUUAGAAAAAUCAGACGUUAGCUACCAAAUUGAUGAAUCCCCCUUUCUUAGGGCUCAGAAUGCUGGAAGGAGCCUUUGAGUGCAGUCCUGGUGGAGCUUUGGACCCAUUGCACAGCAAGGAAGCAUAAGGCUCUGUUCAGCCUCUUGGCCCACUUUGUCCUUUUAUGUCUCUCUCAUUAACUCAAGGAAGCACAUGGCUUUUAUAUUUAAAUUUAUUCAAGCUGUAAUCUUUGACAUUUGAGUUAGCUUUUAGUACAGUUUUGCAUUUAUAGUAAUAUAUAUUAUGUAUUUUCUCUAUCCCCAAAGAAUCCCUUUUAAUCUUUUCCGGAUGCAAAUUUCAGGCUGUCUUGUCCCAUCUCCCCUCUCUUGCUCUCUUUCCCCUCCCCCCACAGAGUAUGUUUGAUCAGGUGUGGCAGGAAUAUCCACUGUCAAGCUGCGCCCUUUAUAUUAGUCAAUAUUAUCCUUCCCCCCCUCCCUGUCUGUCUGUUCCUUUGGGCUUUCCCAGUUGAUUUAUAAUUUUGGAAUUCUCAUCGGAGUCUGUAAUACAGUUUGUUCAUUAUUUAACCAAAACCUGUUUAAUGAGCAGAGAGAGGCAAUGUAAAUGUUAGACAUGUUGCAGUGAUGUACCUUUGUGCUUCUUAGAACGGGUGGGUAGUUAACUCUGUGCUGCCUGCAGGGCUGGGGUAUCCUGGGCUUAGGGGAGAAGGGCCACUGUGGGCGUGGUAGUGGCCCUUUUCCCUAAGUGGCCUUUAUAUCUGCCCAAACCCUGCCACAGCUCCACAUUCCGGUGAUGCGUUUCCUUUUACCAUUCUAGUGAUCUUGUGGCGCUCUGGCAAAUACUAGAGCUCUUUAAGCUAGAGCAGUGGUCAGUCAGAUGUGUGGCAUGCAAUGGGCCACAACAGGAAGGUCAGGUACCAGGGCUUCUGACAUUGCUCUUGGUUUCAGGUCUGAAAAGAGAUGAGAGUUAAGAGGAGUGAUUCUAGCUGACAUGGUUUGUGAUCUUUGGGUAAUUUUUUGCCAGACUGGAUAAGUCUUUGUAAGACUUACCUCAUUUAGUAUACUUCUGUGGGAUGAGCUUUACUCACUUAUGAUUUGUGGUGUUUGGCUGUGCUUAUUUGUACCCAGAUUUAGGGUGCCCAUUUUCCUGGUCUUCAAGUACCUCCUCCAUAUAUUUGUCUUCAUGUGUCCACACGCUUCUAAAUUUACAUUUUUACAAGGGAUCCUUGCUAGAAAAAAUCUUGGAUUUUCAUCAGAAAGAAAUAUUCUAAAACUAUCAUAAAAAUUUCUUAUAGGAUUUUUUUUUUUUUAUUUUGCUGCUGGGGAUUCCACCCAUGGCCUUGUACAUGCUAUGGAAGUGCUCUAUCACUGAGCUGCCUCCCAGCCUUGUUCUUAUUUUAUUUAUUCAUUUAUUUUGACCAAGUUUUACUUUAUAGCUCAGGCUAGCUUCAAAAUCAGAAUUCUCUUACCUCCACCUCCCAAGAGAUGGGAUAUCCUUGUUUGUUACCAUGCCCAUCUGGGACUACCUUUUAAUGGCAUUAAAGCCUUAAGGGCCAGACUUGAGGAAGACACUCACACACACUCUCUCUCUCUCUCUCUCUCUCUCUCUCUCUCUCUCUAUAUAUAUAUAUAUAUAUAUAUAUAUAUAUAUAUAUACACACACACAUAGAUAUAUACUUAUAUAUCUGUAUCUAUGUAGAUAUAUCUAUAUAUCUAUAGUCUAUCUCUAUCUAUCUAUCUAUCUAUCUAUCUAUAUCUAUAUCUAUAUCUAUAUCUAUAUAUAACUGAGAGGGAGAAAAUAAAAACCAAGGUGUUUGUGUAUGGUGAACCAAAAGUCGUGUUUUUUGUAGCUGCUGGUGUUACAAGACCAGUGGCUGUCAGACCACUCUGAAAUGACUUGUGGUCUCUGAUCUAUAAUGAUGCUUACGAGGUAUGGAGAGGAAGACAGUGAACGAGGACAGUUGGCAGCCACAUUUCCCUCCUUCUCUCCCUCCCUUUAACUUGGUCUUACUAUUUAUUUAGCACAGGGUUAUUUUCCCAGUGUGCUAAGAUUUUAGGCUUGUGUUGCCAUGUCUAGCUUGCUGCCAUUUUUUGUUCAUUUGAGUAACAAGUCAAGGAGAAUGAAUAAAAGUUGUAUUUUUUCAAGUUGGCUUUCUCAUGUAAAGCUGUUAUAGCCAAAAUUUAGAUGUUUCUAAAGGCAUCAGUGGCUUGCAUAGAGUACAUCUUAGGGAUAGGAUAUUUCUUUACUGAGCUAACUGGGAUAGCAGGAACUCUGACAUAUUUGAGUUUAAGAGGGAGAAGCAGGUGCCUGGAGAAAGUGAGUGUGUUAGGAGUUUAUUUAAAUAUAGUUUAUCUUGGACAAACACACCUGUAGGGUACAGUCUGUCUCAAGCUUUUUGAAUUCAGAAUCUGAGCUAGGAGGUUUGAGUACAUCUACCCUCCAGAGGUUUCAGAGAACAUUUAAACAGAGUCUGGAAGCCAAUCUGGGAGGAACUAUGACUUAACACCUGUCUGGCCCAGGCCCCUUAGAAAUAGCUGCCUAGGUAGAAGAGAACUGCUCAAAGAUGCCUAAUUAUCUUAGGAAUAAUUGUCAGGAAAAAAUUGAAUACAUUAUAUUAUUUUAUAUAUAUAUUAAAAAUAACUAGAUUUACUUCUUGUAUUGAUUGAAUAUAUAUAUUCAUUUUUUUCUAUAGAUGUCUAUAGUUUGGGGAGUAGCAGAAUAAGAGAUCAUUAGGCAGCAUAUGAAGAGUGAUAAGUGAGCAUUGACUUUCCUUCCCUUGGAACUGAAGUAAACUUUUUAUUUUGCUUUGUUUGAGGCAUUGUCUCACUAUGUAGCCUGGGCUGGUGGAAUUCAUUAUGUAGAUCAGGCUACUCUGGAAUGCAGAUAUCUUUCUACCUCUGUCUUCUGAGUGCUGACAUUAAAGGUGUGUAUAUCACUAUGCCUGGCAAGAAUUGAACUUUUAAAUUGUCUAAGGUAUAACAGAAAACUAUUUUGUUUCUUUUUAGAGGAAAUUAAAAAAAUCAAAUUUGUCAGACAAAUUUAAAUAAACGACUGAAUAUUGGAAGGGGCAAAGUUGGCCAAAUGUAUGUAUUUCCUAUACCACUUAUUUACUCUUUAUGAUAAAACAUAAGAUCCCAUAUAUAAAUGUAUUUAUGUAUUUACUACAUACACACAGAUAGAAAACAUAGAUUGAUGAGCAUGUUAGAAUGUGGCCUGAUAGUUGGGGACAAUAACUCUAUGUGAAGUAGAGGCAGGACUGGUGAGGCUCAACAGUUCAAAUCAUGAUUGAGCAACAAAAUGAGACCUUGUUAAAAAGGGUGUGAGGUCCUGCCUCAAAAACAAGGUGGAGAGCAAUAGAAGAUGACCACAGUGACUUUUGGUCUCCGAGGGCCUGUUCAUGUCACCAUGAGCUCAUAUAGACAUGAACGUGCACACACAUGAUGUGGGUGAUAAAGACUCUUGAGAAUAGAUAGCUGGGUAUGGUGAUGUGUGCUUAUUAUAACAUGGGGGACUGAAACAGCUAGAUCAUGAGUUGGAGGCCAGCCUGGAUAAUAUAGUUUCAGGAAAGGACAGAUUCAUAAUGAGAACCUGUCUCAGAAGGAGGAAGGCAAGGGAUAGGAGAGAGUUCUGUGUAGUCUUGCUUCUUGUGGGUACAGCUCUGCCUUUACUCUCUGUAAUACCCAGUUACAUCCUUCAGAAUCAAGUCUGGCUGAUAGGAAUGCAUGUUUUUUACUAUAUCUAAUUAUAAAGAGAAAUAAUAAUAAUAAUAAUAACAACAGCAACAACAAUAAUAAUACUACAAAGGGCAUUGUUAAUAUCUUAGUUCUCAAAAAGAGAGGCAAAGGUAGCUGACUGUUUUCUAGCAUAGUCUGUAGGCAUUGUAGCAGGACGGCCUCAGUGUUAGCUGUCAGAGUCAUUGGGUUGCUUUCCUGGCUUUUGUCUUCAUUGGCAUUCUUUCUCUUGAGGUCUGAUGUGUCUCCCUGAGUAUAUGCCCAACUUGCUGUGUCAGCAAUCAGUUACGUAAAAGGAGGGAUAGCCAGCUGCUUUUUUGUUUUUUAACAAGGAGGUAGUAAACUCACUUUUUUCCACACCCAUUCAAACUCUGGGCAAAUGCCAAAAGGAUUUAGAGAAAGCCAAAUGUUUGAAAUCCAAUCAAUGUGUAGUUUUAAGCAGGAAAGAUAAUGUAAAGUUUGUUUUAACCCUACCCAUCUCUACCUGCCUCAUGUUCAUAGGACCUUAAUUGAUCAUCCUAGUUUCUGAAAUAGUACAGGGUAUGUUUAUGGAAAGAAUGAAUACCUUUCCCCCACUCCUUAUAGCCAUUUAAAGAGAGUUAGAUAUAUAGCAAAAUACAAAUUAGAACCCUUUAGCUCAGACCACUUUAGAAAUUUGUGGUAGGUAGGUGAGGAGCUCUGACUCCUUUAUGGUCUUACUUUUGCCUCAGGAAACCAACAGGUAGCCAUUACCCUUUUUUGUAGCCUUCGUUUGUUUUAUAACCUUUUGGACUUAGAUGGACAAGUGCUCCUGGAUGCCUGCUGGCUAGCUUCUCAUGGGAAGCCUCUUCUGGACCAUCAGCCUCUGCUAACCACUGCUGCAACUGUAGGUCAGGAGAUGAAGGGCUGCCACAUGUGCACAGAGCACACUGACGUUCCCUUGUUCCAUGCUUAUUGAGCAAUUACUUGUCAGCUGUGGAAUUCACAUUUUUGCCUCCAGGUUCUUGCCCAGUGUGAACUGUGGGUAUUUUGGAAGUAGUCUGAUAGACCGUACAUCAGAGGGCAGUAAAUCGUCAUUUGACUUGGUGGGAAGAGCCAGAUGUAGUGUAGGAGGAAGGACUUUCUGUAGUCACCAUGCAGUUGCUUCCACAUGUCCCAACCAGAAAGCAGCUUAAGAACCAGGGAAUAAGGGUAGCUGGGGGCAUGAUGGGAUAGGUAAAGGACCAAGAGGGCUUCAGUGUUAUCUAGGAUUGGUCUUGGGUUAGGAAAAGUCCUUUAACAAUAGGAACAAAUAAGAUUUCCCUGAUAUCAGUAAGUUUUUCCAUUAGUAUUUUUGUUUUUAAGUAAAAUAAAACAAAACUGGAAAAAACUCAUUCCACAUGAAUGCUCAUUUUCUUUGAGUAAAUGGCAGGUUUAAGGAAACUGGCUCCUGAGCCUGGAGAAGCCUUGGCGGUUACGAGUGCUAGCUACAGCUGUACUCUAGAACUCAAUCCCCAUAGCUACUGCUGUACUCUAGAACUCAAUUCCCAGCACCCACAUGGCCGCUCACAACUGUCUGUAACUCCAGUUCCAGGAGAUUGGUGCACAUAUGGUGCACAUAUGUAUGUAUGCAGCACAUACAUACAUAUGCAAAUGAGCAAAAUGCACAUACACAAAAAAUAAAAAUAAUCUUAAAACAAGUUGGCACCAAAUUGACUUAGCAAAACAGAACUGAGGUGAUGUCAUGACUAUCUUAUUGAGAGCUAGAGCAAUAUUUUCAGAUUUGCUUCCCAUAGUGAAUUAUAAUGUGACAGUGAGGUGUGAGACAUCUCUUCUCCGAUUUUAAUUAAUUAAUUAUUUUUAUUGUUAUUUUGUGUGGAUGUGGAAUAAUUUUUUUAUACCUUCACCUGGGUUCCGGGGACCAAAUGCAGGUUGUCAGGGUUUGCAGCCAGUGCACUUUACCAAGUGGUUCAUUUUUCUAGCUCACCUCCCGAUUAUUACUUUUUAUUUUAUUAAAAUUGUUUUAACUUACAUUCAUUUAGUAUGUCAUAGAUAGUUAUGACUUUCUAACUAUCAUUUAUUUGCAUUUACUAGUUGUCAUUUUCUGUGAACAAUUGCUUUCCUCUUUAGUUGGAGAAUAAACCAGAAAUUUUCUCUAGAAAGGCAUGGUAAACACUUAAUUCUUGGGGUUUUUUUUUUUUGUUUGUUUGUUUGUUUGUUUUCAGGAGCUGGGGACUGAACCCAGGGCCUUGUGCUUGCUAGGCAAGCGCCCUACCACUGAGCUAAAUCCCCAACCCCUUUUUUAGUUUUUUUAAACAUUUAUUUAUUUAAUAUGCUCUGCCUGCAUGCCAAAGAGGACAUCAGAUUGUAUUACAGAUAGUUGUGAGCCACCAUGUGGUUGCUGGGAUUUGAAUAAUUCUUGGUUUUAAUAAGUUCAGAACAGGAAGUUCAUAUAAAUAAUGACCAUUACUGGUGUCAAAUUUGUUUUUUUACUUAUUUGACUUAUAAAUAUUUAAUUAGUCAAAGUUUAUAAUCAGUCAGGUAAAACUAGUGUUUAAAAUUGUUUCAAGUUUGACCAAUGAAACCAUCUUCAGAUUGGUUACUUUGUUCUUUUAACAUGACUCCUUUGAGUACUUCAUGCUUUCUGAUAAAGCAAGUAACAUUAAUGGGGAGGUGGGAAGAUAAAGUGGAAGCUAUUGGUGUAUCGCAUGUCAUUAAUAAGGGUAAAUGUUAUGCUAGUUCACUUAGAGCCUGGUUUAUGGGGCUAAGGAGAGAACUCAAUUGGUAAAGUGCCUGCCAUGCAGGUCUGAGGAUCUGAGCUUGGAUCCCUAGGACCCAGGUAGAAAGCUAGACACAGUAGCAUGAGUCAGUAAUCCCAGCUGUAGAGAUGUGGUGUAAGGGCAGCCAGUUUAGCCAGUUGGUGAGCUUCAGAUUCAGUGAGAGACCUUGUCCCAGAAAAUAAAGAAGAGAUCAAGGGAUCAAGGAAGAUACCCAGUGUCCACUUCUGACCUCCAUACAUGUGCACCCUCCACCACAUGUUACACACACACACACACACACACACACACACACACACACACACACACACACACGUGUUCAAAAAAAUAGAAACAAAGGAAGAGAGAGAGAGAGAGAGAGAGAGAGAGAGAGAGAGAGAGAGAUAGAUACAGUCUACGCUGUCUUUUCAUUGAUAAUACUCAAAGAAGUUUAGAAGCCUGGCAGAGAGUUUGAUUCCCCCUUGUCCCAGAACUGCUUUGGAUUUGAAGUGUUAUUUCUUGGGCAAGGAAUCUAAAAGAGUGUUGUAAGGAUGCCACUCCUAUUUAUAUAAUUAUUUUCUCCUCCUUUUUUUCUUCUUCCUCCUUCUUCUCUUCCUGUUUUUUUCUCCUCCCCCUGUCACCCUCCUCUGGUAUAAAUCUACAUCCAUGGUUCACUGUUAAUACUCACUAUAGGAAAACACAUUUUAUGAGCAGACCUAAUGACUUUGGUGGAGGAUCCUAGUUCCCUCUGCCCAGGAGUAAAAGUCCUUGGCUCAGCUCACCUGGACAGAGAUUGUAGGGAAAACAUUUGCAGGGAAAAUGGACUUCUAUUGUCAGAAACCAAAUAAGGCUCAUUAAUCCUCCCAGUUGAGCACCAGCUUAGCAUCUUAAUCAGUUCCCUUUCAGGGCUUAAAGACUCAUUCUGUUUUCUAGAUUCUAUGAAGAAAAUGAGUAGUGCCUGCUUUGAUAGAAUGGUUACAUAUGUAGGGAAUGGGAGUUAUCACCAGGGUCUUAGGUAGACUACAGACUCAAGUAAUAAUGUAAAACUGGAUUGUGUGUGGACUGAGGAAGAUAAGGGAAAUGUUUAUGUCUGUGUAGUUUUUCUCCAAAAGCCAGAGGUAAAGAAGUUGUCUGUUUCUGCACUAGAGAUUAUUUCACCCUAUUUAACGAAUUGAUGUUUUUAAGACCUGAUAGAAAUAUGUAGUUUUUUUGAGUCUUGUUUUGAAAUCUUUGUUUUUGUUGUUUAUUGAGACUUACUGUACCCAAUGCUGGCUUGGAACUCUGUAGCUUAGGCUGGCCUUAACCUCAUAGCAAUCCUCCCUCCUCAUCCUUCCCAAUGUUGGGAUGACAGGUUUGUACUACCAUACCCAACCAGUAAUUUCAAACUUUCAAGAAAAGAGUUAAAAUUAGUACUGAGGUCGGUCUCCCAUAUGCCCUUUUGCUAGUUGAUUUUAUUGUCUUCUUUCUUACUAUACAUGUGUAUUUAUAGUUAUUUUUCUAAAUUAUUUGAGAAAUUAAUCAUAUGCACUUUGAUACUUCAGUGUAUGUUUCCUAAGAACAAAGAUGUUUUACUUAAUCAAAGUAAAAUGAUCAAGUUCAAGACAUUUACUGAUUGAAUAAUUUACCAUUAAUAUUUGUCUAAGUUAAGGUUUCUAUUGCUGUGAUAAAGCACUGUGACCAAAGCAAAUUAGAGAGGAAAGGGGUCAUUUCAUCUUGCAGCUCUCAGGUCACAUUCCGUUAUUGCAAGAGUAAGGGCAGGAACUUGGAGAUAAGAACUGAAGCAGAGACCAUGAAAGAAGGUUUCUCAUUGAUUUGUUCCUGGUGGCUUGUUCAGUACCACAUGCCUAGGGGCAGCAUUGCCCACCGUGGGCUAGGCCUUCCUAUAUCAAUAUUAAUAAAGAAAAUGUCCAACAAAUUUGCCCCUAGGAAAUCCUAUGGAGCCAUUUUCUCAAUUAAGAUUUCUUCUUCCCAGUUGACAGAAAACAACCAGGACAAUUAAUUGACCACUUGUCUAUUUGACACACAAACACAUCACUAUUAACUUCUCCUUCCUUAUUUGUUCCUAAGAUGUCUUGUUAAUAUUAAUAUCGCAAUAUAUAACAUUCCAACUUUUAAAAGUCCUACAGUCCUUAAAAAUUCACUUUGAAAAUUCAGUCUCGGGGCUGGAAAGAGGGCUCAGUGGUCAAGAGCACUGACUGCUCUUCCAGAGGUCCUGAGUUCAAUUCCCAGCACCCACACGGUGGCUCACAACCAUCUGUAAUGGGAUCUGAUGUCCUCUUCUAGUGUGUCUGAAGAUACUACAAUGUGCUCAUAUUGAAAUAAAUAAAUAAAUAACACCAAGAAGUUAGGAAAAUCACACGAUUUCAUAGCUAGCAGGGAGAAAACUGUUAAAAAAAAAAAUCCAGUCUCUCUAAAAUAUUCAAAGUUGCCUGGUGGUAGUGGAACACAUCUUCAAUCCCAGCACUUGAGGGGGAGAGGCAGGCAGAUCUCUGAGUUUGAGGCCAGCCUGGUCUACAAAGUGAGUUCUAGGACAGCCAGGGCUACACAGUAACCCUGUCCAGUAAUUAAAGUCGAUAAUGAUGAUGAUGAUAAAUAAAAUAAAUAUCCAACCUCUCCCUAAAGCUCCACAGUUUUCAGAGAGACUCUGAAAGCUCACAGUUUCUCAAUUAUUGGCUCCUGUAAAAUCAAAAGUAAUUUAUAUGUUUUCUCACCCCAAGACUUAAGAACCAGGGUACAACUACAUUCAAAUCAAAGUAGAACUCCAAAUUCAACACUGCAAGAAGUUCAGUGCUUGAUGUCUGGGACCCAGUCAAGGUCCUCUGGGCUCCACAGAUGCUUGGUAAGUCUACUUUUCUAGCUCUGUCAUCCACAGGGCAUACAGCUUGUCUGCUGGGCUAAGGAUAGGUCUAAGCCACAGUUGCUGCUGUCCUUGGUGCUCUUGUGGUACUGGCAUCUCCAAAAUGAUGCAAGUAUGCUGAGCCUUCACUAAAAGCUUCUUCUGAGCUCUCUUCAGGGACUUUGACUCAGCCACGGGCUGCCAGGCCUUAGUUUCUCUCCAUGACUGCUUCGUACCUGAUACUUCAACUGAGUCUGCACAUUCACAGUGUCAAGUCUCAGCUACUCUCCAUGACCCUUCAUAUCUUCAAAUGCAGUACCACCUGGGAAACUCUUACAUAGUCUAUUACCACGUUCAGCUCCCAGCUGUACACUGAUCCUGAGGAAGCACUUUCCAGAAGAUUUUGCCUCAAUAAUGCAGGUGUCUUCUUAAUCACUGCUGGUUCUUCAGCCCUAGAUGACAAUUAUCAAUUGUUCUGGCAAAACAAAGAUUUCACUUUAGUUGUUUUGGUCUCUUGUUAGUCACAGUCCAAUCUUCAGCCUCAGAUGACCAGAACAACAGGUUCAUAGUUCAAAAUAUCAGUUUCUCAAAUAGAGUCUUUAAGGACCUGUGAAAGUUUCCAUUAAAAUUUCUCAAGCCAGGUUCCAUGGUCUGCAGACUUUAUUCCCACCAACAUCUCAUUCAGUGGCUUUUCUAAUCCAAAAUUCUAAACUCCUCCAUAAUCACUCCAAAACAACAUGCUCAGUUCUCUCACAGCAAUGCUGCUCUCCUGGUAUUGAUUUAUGUAUUAGUUACAUUUCUGUUGUUAUAAUAAAAUGCUGUGAGCAAAAGCAACUUGGGGACAAAGGGGUUUUAUCUCGCAACUCUCAGGUCAUAGUCUAUCAUUCAGGAAAAUCAGGGCAGGAAUUUAAGGUAGGAACCAAACAGAAGCUAUGGAGGAAUACUUCUUCUUUUUUUUUUUUUUUUCUUUUUUCUUUUUUUCGGAGCUGGGGACCGAACCCAGGGCCUUGCGGUUGCUAGGCAAGCGCUCUACCACUGAGCUAAAUCCCCAACCCCGGAGGAAUACUUAUUGGUUUGCUCAGCCAGAGCAGAAAUAAAUAUUUCUUAUACCAUCCAGGACCAGCUACCCAGGGGUGGCACUUUAAUCAGUGGGCAGGCUGUCCUAAAUUAAUAGAGAUCUCUUGGCUCUGUUUCUCAAGUGUUGGGAUUAAAUAUGUAUGCCACUACACUGGCUAUGACAUUGAUAUUUUCUAUAAUUACAGAUCAGGUUCAUAUAUCUAUUGUCUAUCUACUCUGUUUGCUAUUCCCUCUCACUUUCUCUUUUGAUAUUUCUCAUUUUUUUUAAAGAUUUAUUUAUUUAUUUUUAUGUACAGCAUUCUGCCUGCUUAUGUGACUGCAGGCCAGAAGAGGGCACCAGAUCUCAUUAUAGAUGGUUGUGAGCCACCAUGUGGUUGCUGGGAAUUGAACUCAGGACCUCUGGAAGAGCAGUCAGUGAUCUUAACCACUGAGCCAUCUCUCCAGCCCUUCUCAUUUUUUUUAAUGUUUACCCAUAAUUAGAUUUGGGUUAUGUGUAUUUGGCAUACAUUUGUAUAUCACUGCUAAUACACUGACCCUUUUAUGUUAUAUUCGUAGUUCCAUUUAUAAAUGAUACUAGUUUUUUUUUUUAUUUUAUUUUAUUUUUUUUUUAUUAUCUUGAGUAUUUCUUAUAUACAUUUCAAGUGUUAUUCCCUUUCCCGGUUUCCGGACAGACAUCACCCUCCCCCCUCCCCUUCCUUGUGGGUGUUCCCCUCCCAAACCUCCCCCCAUUGCCACCCUCCCCGCAUAGUCUAGUUCACUGGGGGUUCAGUCUUAGCAGGACCCAGGGCUUCCCCUUCCACUGGUGCUCUUACUAGGAUAUUCAUUGCUACCUAUGGGGACAGAGUCCAGGGUCAGUCCAAAUGAUACUAGUUUUAAUCAUUUAAGUGUUACAUGGAUUCUUUAUUAUAUGGGUACUACUUGCUACUUAGAACUAAUAAGCCAUUUAUAGGAGUGAAUUUUGACUAGUCUUUCUUUAAACAAAUGAUAAGACAACAUUAGAAGCAGCUAGAGUUAAGGUAGUUGAAGAAUUUAAAAAUCAUUAAAGUGAGACUUCACCAGAGAACAGAGAAGAGCUGAUGAAGAUAAGCUCCGGUGUUAAACUGUUCCUCAGACAUCUGUUAAACAAGUGUUCACACUGACCACCAUGCACUGACGCAUCUCUCCAGGAAAGAGCUUCAUCCAGAGUGUGCCUUAUGUAAUGUGUCAGUCAGAAGCAGUGAAGCUGCUAACUGAGUGAAGCCUGUCUUUGCACCUUCUGCCUUUAGAUAGAUAAUUGGCAAAGGUCUUAGAAAUGCAGAUGUUUUUCUGUGAACCAACAUGUUGAAAAUGGACCACAGGCUAAGAGCUGCAUAACACCGUACAGUGUUAUGCUGUCUGUUCUCACUGACAACCUCUAGAUAAUGACUGAAUAAUUGGGGAGGUGGGAUAGUCUCCCCCUUUUCUUUGCUAGGUAGAACAAAAGUCAUUUACCAGCAAAGCACUUUACCAAAUUGGUGACUUUUCAGUAAUAUACUGCAAGAUAUAAAAUGCUGCGUUGAGUUGAUGUUUAGUCCCUAAAAAAUUAAAAACUUUAGUGUAUAAUCCCAGCAGUGGGAAGUAGAUCAGAUCAAGGCUGCUCCCAGCUGUAUACAAGUUUGAGACUAGACUAGUUAUUUGAGACUUCGUCUCAGAAAAACAAAAGAAACAUAGUUUUGACAUUUCAAAAAAGAUUUAUCUUGAGGCUGGGGAGAUGGCUCCUGCGAUUAAGAGCUCUGUCUGCUUUUCCAGAGGACCCAGGUUUGAUUCUCUCACCACUUCAGUCAUAGGGGAUCACAUACCCUCUUCUGGCUUCCACAGGCACUUUCCACACAUGGUGCACAGGCAUACUUGCAGGCAAAGCACCAAUACAUAUACAAUUAAAGACAUUUAAAAAAGAGAUUUGUCCCAAUGAGGCUUGACUGGGUGAGAUCUUGAUCUCCUAGGAUUAUGCUAGCACACCCAGUGGCAGUUUUUCUCCACUCAACCAAAAGCACAAAUACUUGUUUUUCAGGUCAGAAUGACAGCAGCCCAGCAGCCAUAUGAGUCCUUUCUCUUUCUUUCUUUCUUUCUUUCUUUCUUUCUUUCUUUCUUUCUUUCUUUCUUUCUAUCUAUCUACCUAUCUACCUAUCUACCUAUCUACCUAUCUACCUAUCUACCUAUCUACCUAUCUAAUCUAUCUUCAGUGGUAGUGGAUUAAACCUGGCAGUCUUGCUCAUCCUAAAAGCAUACAAGCGGCUACUACUGAGAUAUAUACCCUUAGGCCCCUCACCCCUUAAUAAGUGGAAUGAGCUAUAAAUUCAUCCUCCUAUUUCUACUUUUAGUGUCAGAACAUUUAAAAAGGUAUGGGGUUGGGUGGAAAGAUGACCCAUUGGUUAAGAGUACUUACUGCUCUUGUAGAGGACCUGGGUUUGGUUCUUAGCACCCAUGUGAUAGGUUCAAUGUUCUGACUUUUAUGGGCACUGUGCAAUAUGGUGUACAUACAAACAUAAAAUUAAAUAAGGAAGUGUUUAGGCAGGAGUGGUGUGGUAUACUUUAAUCCCAGCACUUGGAGGCAGAGGUGGGCAGAUUUCUGAAUUCAAGGCCAGCCUGAUCUACAGAGCCAGUUCAAAAAUAGCUAGGGCUACAUACAAAGAAACCCUGUCACAAAAAAUUCACCCCCGCAAAAAAAGAACAUUUAAAAGGGUUUAGUUGAGUUCAUUGAGAAAUUGGACAUAAGCUUUUAAAAAUCUAUAAGAUUUGGAAAUACCCCUGUCCCUUGAACUUGAAGAGAAAUGAUUAGAAGAUCAUUUCCUAUUCUCUUUUUCUGUCACCUUUCCUUCCCAUUUGCCUACAUUUUUUCUUUACUUUCUGACAUUACUUUUAUGGAUAUCAUUAAUGUACUUAAGUGUACCAUUUAGAAAAGAGACAAAAUAUUGCUUUUGAGUAUCUUUGAUAUCAAAAAUGGGCUACAGAUAUGAGCAUUACUUUUGUAAACCUUAUCAGGUCAUAUUUUGUUAAGAAAACCGUGUCCAUUUAAAAGCAAAGAGAAAGGUAAAUAAGGAAAGAAAAGCAGACAGAGGCAGAUAGUAAGGAAGGACAGAUAGAGGCAAAAGUAAAGAACUUGGGGUAAGGGACCUGCUGUGGGAGAGAAUCCCUGAGAAUACAGAACCUCUAAGGUAGGAAACAGGAGUCAGGUCCAGUUUGGGUUUUCCCUUUCAGUGAGUGUGUUCUAAAGUGGGAUGAAGUGAGGUGCAUGCAACAUUCCCAUGCUUUAUUCAUUGGAUAUGCCGACGCAGAACUGAAGAGAUCCUCUAUAAUAAGGUGACUUGACAGACUGAUCCUAGUGGGUUAAGGUGAAAGAAAAUAUUAAGAGAUGUGUCUUGGCUGGCUAGCACCGACAAGGUUAUUUUUAACUUUCCCUUUCAGUCUUUUCAUUGUUCAUACUCCCUCACUAGCUACUAGGAGAGCAGUCAAAAUUAGCAACUAUAUAAAGUGAAGUCCUCUUGUCUCCCCAGUCACUUCCAAAAUAAACAGGGAGUAAUACUGUCCGUAUUUUGUCUCACUUUACUCUGAAGGCUAGCAAUAGAGGAAGCAUGGAUUAGUGUGUAGUGAUUUCUAGGCUCUGUCCUCUGGACGAAUUCCCCUUUGAGAGCUCCAGCUGAGUGACAGGACCAUGUGGCAGGCAGGAGUGCAGCUGGAAGUCUGUCCGGGCACAUUUGGAUUGGGUAAAUAUAGUAGGAGCAGGAUGUCAGUGUGGGAGAUGGAUUGUUCUGGGAAAGGAAGUGUUGUCUCUCCUCUGAGAAACAAUUUCCUGUACUUCUGGGACCUUUGCUUUCUUCUUCUUCCUUCUGAGGGCAGAAGAGGAGUUGGCAUGGGUUGGAUGCACUUGCUGAAUUCUGUCUCUGCUUGUCUGUCUCCUCCUACAUUUGAAGUUGGGUGUAAAAAUCAGAUCUAUUUCAAAAGUUAGGAAUAACCCAAUAAAUAGCCAUGUCCGUGACUUACAUUUCACCUCUUACAGUCUUACAAGCCCUCACCUGCUUAAAGUCCCUUUUAAAAAGUAACCAAUCUUUCCUCAAACCAGACAGGUUGAGAGGCAAAAAUAACCAUACAAAGAAAAUGAACGCUAUUGAAAGUCAGACAUGAAGCAGCAGCUGGCAGGAAACAGCUGGGGUGUUCAGGGAGCUAGACUCUACCACAGACCUUAACUCUUCAAGCUCUUUGUUAUCUGAGCUGCUAAGAAGGCUGCUUACCUACCAACACUCUGCAUUAAAAAACUAAAUCUGCGAGAGAUUAUAUAUUACAAUUAAAUGGAAUUUCAUGAAUUAUAAUUUUGCAUUUUUCAUUUUUAUUGGAUAUUUUCUUUAUCUGCAUUUCAAAUAUUAUCCCCCUUUCCUCUCCAGAAACCCCCAUCUCAUCCCUCCCCCUCCUGCCUCCAUGAAGGUGCUCUCCCAUCCUUCCACCCAUUCCCUCCUGCCUCCCCUCCGUGGCAUUCCCCUACACUGGGGCAUCGAGCCUUCACAGGACCAAGGGCCUCUCCUCCCAUUGAUGCCCGACAAGGCCAUCCUCUGCUAUAUAUGCAGCUGGAGCCAUGGGUCGCUUCAUGUACUCUUUGGUUGGUGGUUUAAUCCCUGGGAGCUCUGGGUUAUCUGGUUGGUUGAUAUUGUUGUUUUUCCUAUGGAGUUGCAAACCCCUUCGGCUCCUUCAGUCCUUUCUCUAACUCCUCCAUUGGUGAUCCCAUUCUCACCAAUGGUUGGCAGCAAACAUCUACCUCUGUAUUUGUCAGGCUCUGGCAGAGCCUCUUAGGGGACAACUAUAUCAGGCUCCUGACAGCAUGCACAUCUUGGCAUCCCCAAUAGUGACCGGGUUUGGUGACUGCAUGUGGGAUGGAUCCCCGUGUGUGGCAGUUUCUGGAUGGCCUUUCCUUCAGUCUCUGCUCCACUCUCAAUUAACAUAGAUAGAGAAACCAAGAUAUUCCAUCGACAAAAUCAAAUCUACACAUUAUAUUCAUACAAAUCCAGACCUACAAAGGAUAGAUAAUAGAUGAAAAAAAAAAAAAAAGCUCAACACAAAGAGGGAAACUACACCAUAGAAAAAGCAAGAAAAUAAUCUUUCAACAAGCCCAAAGAAGAUAGCCACACACACAUAAUUCCAUCUCUAACAACAAAAAUAACGGGAAACAACGAUCACUUUUCCUUAAUAUCUCUUAACAUCAAUGGACUCAUUUUUGCAUUUGAAAAUUCUUUGACUGGGGGCAGAGCUUAGUUGGUAGAGUGCUUCCCUAGCAUGCAUUGAGCUCUUGUUUCCAUUCUCAGCACUAAAAAGCUGGUACACCCUAUAAUCCUAAUGCUUGGGAGGUGAAGGUAGGAGGGUCAGAAGUUUGAAGUCAUCCUUUGCUGUAAUAGCAAAUUCACGGCCAACCUGGGCUAUGGAAGCCCUUGCCUCAAAACAGAAACCAUAAAAUUUAUGAAUGGAAUUGCUAGGUUAUGUGUUAAUUCUGUUUUCCUUCUUUUCAUUUAAAUUCUCAUAAGUACAGAAGGAUUCCAGUUUAUCUAUAUUUUCACCAGUACUUGUUUUUUUUUUUUUUUUUUUUCUAUUUUUCGGAGCUGGGGACCGAACCCAGGGCCUUGCGCUUGCUAGGCAAGCGCUCUACCACUGAGCUAAAUCCCCAACCCCUCACCAGUACUUGUUAUUUUAAGUAUGAUAGAUGUGGUGAUUUGAAUAGGCUCCCAUAGAUUCAUGUGUUUGAAUGCUUGGUCCAUAGGGAACAGUGUUAUUAGGAGUUAAGGCCUUGUGUGGUUUUGGAGGAAGUGUGUCACUGUGGGGGCGGGCUUUGAGGUCUCCUAUGCUCAGGCUACGUCUAGUGUGGCACACAGUCCCUUUCUGCUGCCUUUGGAUCAAGAUGUAGAACUCUUGGCUCCUCCAGCACCAUGUCUUCCUGGAUGCUGUCGUGCUUCCCAUCAUGAUGAGAAUGGACUAAACUUAUAAGGCUGCCCAAAUUAAAUGUUUCCUUUACUAAGAGUUGCCUUGUUCAUGAUGUCUCUUCACAGCAAUAAAACCCUAAGACAAUAGACAAGCACUCUACCCCAAAGUUAUAUCCCCUGUUUUUUUUUGUUUUUUUUUUUUUAAAGAUUUUUAUUUAUUUUACGUAUGUGAGUACACUGUAGAGUGAGUACACUGUAGCUGUCCUCAGACACACCAGAAGAAGGUUUCAGAUACCAUUACAGAUGGUUGUGAGCCACCAUGUGGUUGCCGGGAAUUGAACUCAGGACCUCUGGAAAAGCAGUCGGAGCUCUUAACUACUGAGCCAUCUCUCCAGCCCAUAUCCCAUGUUUUUAAAGAAUUAUUAUCAUAACUUCAAAAGCUUUUGAGAUCUGAUUGGACUUUAUAAUAAAGUUCUUUCCAGUUUUGUUCUCUUAGCAACAUCUUUCCUGAAGUAACUGGACUGUUCUUUGGGGCCCAGUGUUUUAAGGUUUUAGUUUUUGUGCCUAAGAAUUAAGAACGUGUCUUUUGGGUUAGGGGUAUAACUCAUUUCAUAGAGCACUUGCCUGUUAUGCCUGAGACCCUGGAUUCAAUCUCUUGCACUGAAAAACAGUAACAACAAAAGACUUUCCCACAGUUUGUAACAAAUAUUAUGAUUACAGCUUAAAUGAAAGUUCAGAGGGGUUGAAAUCUGACUUGCAAAAACAAGAAAAAGUUGCUGGACUUGAUGGCCCAUCCUUUUGAUCCCAGCAUUUGGGAGGCAGAGGCUGGUGGAUCUCUGUAAGUUCAAGGCCAGCCUGGUCUAAAUAUGAUUUCUAGGCCAGCCAAGUCUACAUAGUGAGACCCUGUUUUUUUGUUUUUUGUUUUUUGUUUUUGUUUUUUUUUUAAAAGGUUACAGCUAUAGUUUGUGUCUUGGGAUGGGAUGUUAUUUUUGGUUUUUUCUGUCAUUAGAUUCCUUGACCACAUCAUAGACCAAAUGUUGCUAUAUUACAGUCUCAGUUUGCUUGUAGAUAGAUUGCCACUUUAUCUGCCUGCUUAUAAAAUCAAUCUCUUUUUCAAAUUGGUGGUAGUGGUAGGGAUCAAACUCAGGUUCUUGCAUAUGCACUGAACUAAAAUGCACUGUCUUGGCCCCAGAAUAACCUAAAGAGGGAGUUAAUUCCUUUUCUGAAGUGUGAUUGGUACUAUAUUUCAGCUGUUACUACUGUUUGGGUGUGUGGGUGGGUGGGUGGUGGUGGUGCGUUGUCAAAGGUAGACCCUAGGACCUACCAUAGUUAGUGCAUUCUUACCACUCUGUUCUAUCUUUGGCUCUUCCACCACUACUUAUAUUAAAACUCUAGCCAGGUGUAGUGUUGCAUGUCUACAGUUCUAGGUGGGAAGCUGAGGCAAGGAGUUUGUAACAAGUUCAAAGCUAGCCUGAUUAGGUUCGUCAGGGCUACAUAGUGAAACCUUAUCUCCAAAGUGAAAGAGAAGAGGAAGAAAGGAAGAAAGGAAAAAGGAAAAAAGAGGGAAGCACACUAGAACUACUGGUUCUUUGCUUUUCUUUAGAAAUAUGACUUUCAUAGCAGUGUAUUUUCCAAUUUACAUGUUGAGUGAUAGAUUUUUCUAACCUUUAGAAAGAUUUUUUUAAAGUACUUAGUAUUUGUUUAUACUUCCUUAAAAUACGGUAAUCACAGAAUAUACUCACGUAUUUAAUAACACUAUUGGUUGCUUUUUUUGUUGUUCAGUAAAUUUGAGCCAGUUUCAAAGUACAUAGAUGGUAGUCACUGUAAUGUCCCUUCACUAUCAGUACAUUAGGUGUUGGGUUACGAAUGCAUUCUAACCAUUUGAUCAAAGUCAGGCUUUGAAUAAGUCAGGUGUGGUGAAUGACAGGUAUGUCUGGAUUUGGUCUUGAGAGAUUUGGGCUGUGGAAAGCAUAAGAACCACUACCCCCUUUACGUAAUGUACUGUGGUCUGUAAUAGGUUGAGUUGUAACAUUCAUUAAACCACUCCUCACAUUCCCUGUUUUCAAAGCUUAUCAGGAUGAGUUUGAUUUAGUUAUUUGGAACCAGGACGGCAGCUCGUGGAGCUAGAUUCAGAGCUGUGUGGCUGUAAUAUAUGAGAGAUCAGACUCAGGUCCCAGUGGGAUUACUCCUUGGCUUUAUUUGCCUGGAAGUAUACACAGGAGCCCAGUGGUAUGUAUGGAAAGCUUUGCUGGAAUGCAAAUUGGACACGUUUUGUCGGGACCUGUAGGGGAUUUUCACUGCUCCAUAAUUUUUCAAAGGUUUGUUAUACAGCAGACACUACUGCCUCUUCUUUAAAUCUGUAAAUCCCCCUCUUUUUCCUGUUCUAAAGGUCAGAUUUUUUUUGACAACUGUGUGCAGGAACAAGAUUUGCUAAAUCCCUUCAUUUUUAUUCAUACAAAUAUCAGAAUUCAGUGAACAUCAGUUAUACAGCAUUUAGAGGUGAGGAAAACUCAGGGAGAAUCUUGCGAAUCUCAACUUAGUGUCAGGCAUAUGUCUCUGGGGAUAAAUUUGCUGCCUCAACUUUAACCCAUAACUGAUCUGAUGAGAGACAGACUUCUCAAUGUGGCUUCCUUGUAUUCGAAACCUAUCUUUAAUUAAUCCCAUGUCUGGAGAGGUAGAAGAAAAGUAAUCUAAUUAGUGGGAGGAUAUUGUUUUGGGCCUUACUCAUAGAGUCUCUUUGACUCUGACAGUGCUUAGACUAGUAUUGGGAAAGAUAGUUAAUUCCUUCCAACAAAGCCAUUUCUUUAUUCUUACUUAACUUUUAGUGAUACAUCACUUAGGCAUUUUCAUUUGAAGAUGAUUAUUUUUUAUUCCAUUUAUUUGUGUGUGUGUGUGUGUGUGUGUGUGUGUGUGUGUGUGUGUGUGUGUUUACAACAGUGCAUGCAUGGAGGUCAAAGGCUGAUUUGUGAGAUACACUUCUCUCUUUCUAUUUGGGUCCCAAGAAUUGAACUCAGGUUGUUAGGAUUAGAGGCAGGCACUUAUCUGCUGAGGCAUCUUCCCAGUCCAGAUGAUUCUUUCUUACCUAAUAGUUCAUCAGACAGUCAUAUUAUCACACAGCAUAGUUUUCUAUCAAACUCUAGUUUGAUAUUGUGUUGUCUAUUAUUGUAUAGCAAAGUACCCAAAAAAUAGCAACUUUUAUUUUUUUCAGAAGUUUCUGGGAGCCAGGAAUUUGGGGACUACUUAGCUAGUGGGUAUUCUUUUAAGAUACCAGUCAGGGAGAUAGCAUUUGAAGGCAGGAUUGAACUGGAAGACUUGUUUCCAAGCUCACCAUGGCUGUUGGCCAGAGGCCUCAGUUCUUCAUAAUGUAGACUUCUCAGCACUGCUAACAUCAUGGAAGCUGGCUCACCCUGAGGUAUAUAGUUUAGGAAUGACAGAGUGAAAAUAGAAACUUAAAGAUAUAUAUGUAUGUAUGUUUGUCACUGGAAGUCAAAUUAGAGCCUCAUGCUUUCAUGCUAAGCACAUGCUUUAUCACUAAGCUAUAUCCCCAGUCCAGAAGCCACACUUGUUUAUUGUUUGAUGAUUUCAUGCAUGUAUAUAAUGUUUUGAUUAACAACCCCCCCCAUUUUCUCCCUUAUUUCCCACUACUUCUCCCUCCCAACUUUAUGUUUUGCUUUUGUUUGUUUUUGACAUGGGGCCUUACUAUGUAGCCCUGGAUAACACUUGACUUUGCCCCCCCAGGUACUUGGAUUAAAGGCCUAUGCCACAUACCUGGUUUGUGUGCUCUUUAAAAGAUUUAUUUAUUUUUAUUUCAUGUGCCUGAAUGUAUGUAUGUAUACUUGUGUACAGUUGCCCUCAGAGGCUUGGAAGAGAGCAUUGAAUCCCCUGGAACUGGAGUUAAUGGUGAAUGUGAGCUAUUUGAUAUCAAUGCUGGGAACUAAACUGGGGCUCUAGAAGAGCAGCAAUGGCUCUUUUUCUUUUCUUUUUUCUUUUUUUUUUUUUUUUUUUUCUGGAGCUGAGGAUCAAACCCAGGGCUUUGUGCUUCCUAGGCAAGUGCUCUACCACUGAGCUAAAUCCCCAACCCUAGCAAUUGUUCUUAAUUGAUGAGCCAUCUCUCCAACCCAUGGGCUCUUCUAAAAAAAAAAAAAACAUUGAGUACAGUUAGUGCUACCAUAGGCACAAGUCUAUCUUCUGGAGCAUGGGUAGCAUUUCCAAGGCCACAUCCCUGAAGAAAACAAACCGUCUGUCUCCCAGCACACAUCAAUGGCCAAUAGCUCCUUAUCUAAGAGUGGGGCUUUAUUUGUCUCUCCCUCCCUCACGAACGCUAAGAUCUUGGUGCAUAUAGUCAAAACUGCUGUGAGUUCAAGUGUCAGGAAAAGUUUCACUACUUCUGGUUCAUGAAACCCCUCCUUAAGGAUCCAGGAGCCUUGUAGGAAGAAAUCAUACUUUUAUUUUCUUUAAAAAAUAUUUUUGUUUCAGGCACAUGCUUUUAAACCCCACACUUAGGAGGCAGAGGCUGAGAGAUAUCUGUAAGUUCAAGGCCAGCCUGGUCUAACAGAAGAAGUUCCAGGACAGCCAGGGAUACACAGAUAAAACUUGUCUUGAUCCCCUCUCCCCACAAUGUGUGUGUGUGUGUGUGUGUGUGUGUGUGUGUGUGUGUGUGUGUGUGUGUGUAUCCACAUGUAUGUGAAUAUGGAUACCCAUGCAUGCAUGGGGAAGAUGUUAGGUGCCCUGCUUUAUCAUUUUCCACUGUAAGAUUAAGGUUUCUGUUGAACCUGGAGCUAGGCUAGCAAACCCUGGUUAUCUUGUCUCUAUCCUGUUAGUGCUGGAGUUUCAGGUGCACACGUAACCACUCUUGGCUCAGACACUCACGAUUGUUUCCCCAGUGAGCCAUCUCCCAGCCCCAUAUUUUAAAAUAUUAGAGGAGAGUAUCUCAUAACAAAGGCUUUCUUUAAACCUUACAUAGCCAACAAAAGACACCCUCCUUCCUCUGCUUCCAAAGUGGCAAGGUGACAAAAUUUUUCCUCACCUUGUUCUCUAUGCUGUGCUGAGGAUCAAACUCAGGGCUUUGUGCACACAUGGCAAGCACUCUAUCAGUGGGGUAUGUGCUCAGCCCAACAUGAAUUCUUUUUGGAUAUUAUCUCAGAGCUCCAGAAUAGACAUUAAAGUCUUUCUUCUUUUUGUUUUUCUCCUCUUCCUCCUCUUCUUUCUUUUUUCUUCCUUUCUUUUCUUCUUUUUUUAAAAUUGGGUAUUUUCUUUACUUACAUUUCUAAUGUUAUCCCCUUUCCUGAUUUCUCCUCUGGAAAUCCCCCUAUUCUUUCCCCUCUCCCCCUGCCUCCCCUUUCCCCAUCCACUCCCUCCCAUCUCCCUGCCCUGGCAUUCCCCUACACAGGGGCAUUGAGGUUUCACAGGGCUAAGGGCCUCUCCUCUCAUUGAUGCCCAAUAAGGCCAUCCUCUGCUACAUAUGUGGCUGCAGCCAUGGGUCCCUCCAUGUGUUCUCUUUGGUUGGUGGUUUAGUCUCUGGGAGCUCUGGGAGGGGUCUGGUUGGUUGAUAUUGUUGUUCUUCCUAUGGGGUUGAAAACUCCUUCAGCUUCUUUAGUCUUUUUUUCUAACUCCUCCAUUAGGGACCUUGUUUUCAGCCUAAUGGUUGGCUGCUAGUAUGUACCUCUGUAUUUGUCAGGCUCUGGCAGAGCCUCUCAGGGUACAGCUAUAUCAGGCUCCUGUCAGAAUGUACUUCUUGGCAUCCACUAUAUAGUCUGGGUUUGGUGACAGUAUAUGGGAUGGAUCCCCUGCUGGGGCAGUCUCUGAAUGACCUUUCCCUCAGUCUCUGCUCCACACUUUGUCUCUGUAGUCCUCCUGUGAAUGUUUUGUUCUCCCUUCUAAGAAGGACUGAAGCAUCUACUCUUUGGUCUUCCAACUUCUUGAGCUUCAUGUGGUCUGUAGAUCGUAUUUUGGGUAUUCAAAGCUUUUGGGCUAAUAUUCACAUAUCAGUGAGUGCCUACCAUGUGUGUUCUUUUGUGAUUGGGUUACCUCACUCAGGAUGAUAUUUUCUAGUUCCAUCCAUUUGCCUAAGAAUUUCAUGAAAUCAUUGUUUUUUUGUUUGUUUGUUUGUUUUUGUUGUUGUUGUUGUUGUUGUUGUUGUUUUCUUUUAUUCGGAGCUGGGGACUGAACCCAGGGCCUUGGGCUUGCUAGGCAAGCACUCUACUACUGAGCUAAAUCCCCAACCUGAAGUCAUUGUUUUUGAUAGCUGAGUAGUACUCCAUUGUGUAAAUGUGCCACAUUUUCUGUAUCCAUUCCUCUGUGGAAGGACAUCUGGGAUCUUUCCAGCUUCUGGCUAUUAUAAAUAAGGCUGCUAUGAACAUAAUGGAGCAUGUGUCCUUGUUAUAUUUUGGAGCAUCUUUUGGGUGUAUGCCCAGAAGUGGUAUAGCUGGGUCCUCAGGUAGUACCAUGUCCAAUUUUCUGAGGAACCUCCAGACUGAUUUCCAGAAUGGUUGUACCAGCUUGCAAUUCCACCAACACUGGGGGAGUGUUCCUCUUUCUCCACAUCCUCGCCAGCAUCUGUUGUCACCUAAGUUUUUUAUCUUAGCCGUCCUGAAUAGUGUGAGGUGGAAUCUCAGGGUUGUUUUGAUUUGCAUUUCCCUAAUGACUAAGGAUGUUCAACAUUUCUUUAGGUGCUUCUCUGCCAUUACUGGAUCUUACUAUAUAGCCCAGACUAGCCUCUAACACAAAGUAGUUGGAAGUGCUAAAUGCUGCCAGUGUGUGUGUGCACCUGUGCAUGCGUGCAUGUGUGAGUUGCCCCAGGAAUUGAAUCUAGGGCCUCAUUUAUGCCUGGUAAGCACUGUACAAGUUGAACUUUACCUUUAGCCUGCUGUGGGGAUGUUUUGGGUUCUUACAUGCAUCACCUAGUUAUUGAAAUAUAGAAAUAACAGGUCAUGGAUGAGUCUUUUGCUCAGAGUGCUCAUGGUAGCAGUGAGUGUGGAGAAUAGGCAAUCCAAGAUGUAAGAAGGGUAGAUGAGGACAAGGCUGACACAGACCUAUAAAUACCUUAAGGUCUCAUUUAGUGCUUUGAAAUAGUAAUUAGGUCAUAUUUAUUGUCUUCUCCAAGUUAUUUAUUGGUUGGCUCUGAAGACAAGGCAUUAGGACUUUUGGAGAAAAUGCUACUGUCUGGGACUCACAGAGACUGGAUAGAGUGCUGGGAUGUGGCUCAGGUAGUAGAGUGCUUUCCUGGUGUUCACAAGGCUGUACAGUUUUCUAGUACCUCACAGACCGGGCUAGAAAACUUCCAUAUAUAUAUAUAUGAGAGAACAACGGAAUUUUGUGUUUAGACUUGUGUCCUAUCCCCAAGGUAUCUUACUCUGUCAACAAAUGUAUUCCAAAAUCUGAAAAAAAAAAAGAGAAUUCUAGUCUCAAAUAUUUCAAAUAAAAGGUAUUCAUUCUGUAAUAAUGUUUCAAAGUAUGGUUUCAGUUAUUCUCAAUAAACUAAUGCAUUGCUAUUAAAAAGAAAUAAAUACAUACCAAAUAGUAUAGCUGACUGUUAGUUUGCGCUGCUUUAUUCUGUUCUGGUUAGUUUGAACUGUAGAAGAAGAAUAAGGCCAGAGAGAUCAUGGUUAGAGCAAGAUUACAUAGUUCAUUAGCUGAGAAAGCUAGAAUUUAGGUCUGCCAAUUCUUUGUCAGUUGUUGAAGCUUCUGAGAAAAUUGCUGAUCUGACUCAAAUGAGAAAAUGGGGGUUUGGAGACUGGAGAGAUAACUCAGAGUUAGGAGCACUUGAUAGCCUUUUGGAACCAUACUCUGUUUCCCUGAAGAACCUAUUUUUGUUAAGCCUGAUAGUGGUGGUGCAUGCCUUUAACUAUCAGCACUCAGGAGACAGGUGGGUUUCUGAUUUGAGCUAGCCUGGUCUGCAGAUCAAGUUCCAGGAUAGCCAGAGAGCUAGACAGAGAAACUCUGUCUCAAAAACAAAACAAACGAAAAAGCACCCUCUAAUUUAUUUAUUUAUUUAUUUAUUUUUUGGUUUGGUUUCUGAAACAAGGUCUUGCUCUGAAAGCCCAGCUUUCCUGAAAUUCACUCUGUGGCACAAGUUGUCCUUGAACUCAAUCCUAUUGGUUUAGCCUCUAGAGUUGUGGAGUUACAGGCAUAUGCCAAUAUCUGGCUGUAAGAACACCAACAUUUUAUAAGCAAAUUUUCCAAAAAGUCCGCUGAGGUCCAUAUUAUAUAUAUUAAUAUUUAUAUAUAAUAUAAAAUGCAUACUUUUAAUAUAUUUUUCCUCUAGGUCUCUACAUUUUGGGACAAAUACUGCCUUAAAAUUGAAUUGAGUAGGGCUGAAGAGAUGGCUCAGCAGUUAUAAAUGUUUGCUGCUCUUCUAGAGGACCUGAAUUUGAUUCCCAGCACCCAUAUUGAGUAGCUCAGCACAGGGUCAGAAACGCAAAAGCCAGGUGAUCGUGUCAUUGCAGUUCCAGGGGAUCUGAUACCCAUUCUGGCCUCCACAGUACCUGCACACAUGUGGACAGAUUUAAAAAAAAUGAAUAAGUUGAGUACCUGAAAUCAACGAGUUGAAACCAAUAGUUUUAAAAUACAUUCUAGGGGCUGGAAAGAUGGCUCAAUGUUUAAGAGCAUUGACUACUCUCACAGAGGACCAUGAUUUGAUUUCCAGCACCUACAUGGUGGCUCACAACCAACUGUAAUUCCAAUUGCAGAGGACCAAAUACCCUCUUCAGGCUCUGUGCAUUGUACAUGUUGUGCACAAAUAUUCAUUCAGGCAAAACACUGAUAACACAUAAAAUAAAAAUGAAUAAAAUCUUACAAUUUUUAAAAAUUUAAGUAUUUCUAGGCUUAGCAUAGUAACAUAUGCCAGUAGUCCUGUGGUUGAAGAGAUAAGAGGCAGGGGGAUGAGUUCAAGCCCAGUCUGGACUGUAUUGGGAGACUGUCAAUAAAAUAGAAAGUUAAAUCCCUUACCUAAAAUUAACCAUGAGUUUAUCUGUAUUUAUUAUUUAUAGAUCCAGCUAUACAGGUUGCAUCAUGUAUGAUAGCAUCGAAUCUCUUUUUAAUAAAAUGUCUUUUAUACUCUUGGCAGGGAUCAGGCUAUCUAAUAACUUAAUUAAGUACCGACAUAUUUUUAGUAAGUACUUAAUUUGGCAAGAUUUUAUUGGUCUUAUGUAAUAUAGAUGACAAUAUUAUAUGUCAGGCAGUUUACAUAUAUCAUCUCACUUAAUCUUUUCAAGAAUAUUUCAAAAACCAGCAAGGCGGCUUAACAAGUGAGAACACUUGCCAUGUAAAUCUGACAAGCUGAGUUGUCACAUGUUGUCAUGACUGAAGAGGUGAUUGACUCCCAAGUUGUCUUCUGACCUCCAUGCUUGAGCUUUGAGCUCCACCCCUUCCUCAUCAACCACAUCUGUUUACAAGGAAGGUAUUUCAGGAUAGUACUGUGACCAUUUAUAGUAGGCUUCAGUAGGGUCCAAAGCAGGGAGGACCUGAGGCAACAUCUUUGUAAGUGGCAGGAUGGGGCUCUGAGUAUGCUUUUCACUGAUACAGUUCCUGCACUUGCCUCUUUCUCCUGAGGGCAUGGAAUUACUGACAGAAGACAAACUAGUCUCAGUCUUAUUUUUGGCAAAUAUGAAACUCUUAUCCUGUGGUUCCACAAGAAUUCUUGAUGUUUCAAUGGAGAUCGUAGGCUGCUGUCUCUUUUCUGAGAACCUAGGACAAUAAGUAAAAACCGGCAGAGCAAGUAAGAGUAUAGGUUCUGGACUAGAGGCAUGCAGAUCUGGUUUUGAAUAGCAGUCUCCCCUAGAUGGCUUUCGGCAGACUACUUAACCAUAGCCUCAGUGCUUCAUUUGCAAAAUAGGGACUAUGUGGAAUACAACUUAGCAGUAAGGGUAUAUGGUGACAUAUAUACUGGUGACAUAUGUUUAAGCUUGUCUAGAGCUCAGAUCCAAUCUGAUGAGUGACUGACUGACUCUGGCCGAAUGGUACUCUGACCAGGCAAAGCUAUAGAAAAGGGAACAACACAGCAGGGAACAGGCUCCCCAUGAAGCCUCACUUCAAUCCUGUGGAAAGAGAGUGCUGACUGUGACAAGCUGUCCUCUGACCUCCAUGUACAUGCCCUACACACAAAUAAAUUGAAUUCAAAAGUUAAAAAAUCUAAAUAAUAAAUAAGUAAAAAAAAAAAACAAAACAGGUUACUGUAUAUUUAAACAGCAGCAUUGUCCUAUAGUCAGCAGAAGGUAGCAAACGAUGUCAUUGUCUGCUCACACCUGUCCACAAUAGCUUUUCUGACUUCCUACCUGCACAGAUGUAGAAGUGAGACCUAAUGUGAUUCUUUCUUAUGAUGGGUUCUCCAUAAACCCUGAUAUUCAUGCACCUACUCCACUUUAACCUCAGCCUAUAUUUCCAUAGCUGUAGGAUAAAGAUAGGUAAAAGAUAAUGACUACCAAGGGAUUGUGAAGGGACUGAAACUGUUCUACGGCUUCAUUUUGGUAGUGUUUACAGGAACCUAUAUAUGUGUUAAAAUUAACAGAAAAUCUGUUCUACCCUUCAAAUCAGUUUACUGUGUGUUAAUUUAUAAAACAAAUUAAGCAAGAUGUGGUAGUGUAGUCCCAGCUACUCAAGCGGCUAAGAUGGGAAGAUCUCUUGAUCCCAGGAAUUUGAAACUAGUCUAGGAAACAGUGAGCUCUCAUCUCACUAAAUAAAUAGCUGGAUGUAGUAGUGUUCAUUGUAAUUGCAGCUCUCAGAUGGAGGAGGUAGAAAGAUGAGGAGCUCAGAGUAAUCCUUGGUUAGUGAGUUCAAAGCCAGCCUGAGUUACUUAAGAGCAGGUCUCAAAAAAACAAAAAUCAUGAAAGGGCUGGAGAUGUAGCUCAUUGGGAGUUUGCCUAAUAUGCUCAAAGUUCUGGGUUCAAUUCUUAAUAAGACAUAAACUAGAUAUGGAGGUGUUAGCCUCUACUCCUAGCACUUGGGGGAGGUAGACUGGUAGAUCAGAAGUUCAAAGUCAUGCUUGGCUACAUAGAAAGUUUGGGGUUCUAAAAAAAUUCUUAAAUAUAAAAAAAUCAACUUAUCCAUAAAAAUGAGUAUAUUAAAAUAGACAGUGGUAAAAUUUUUACUGUUUUUUUUUUACUUUUUGAGAUUUAUUAUUUUAUUUGUGUAUGUUUUAACAGAAUGUAUGUCUGUGUCCUAUGUUGGUGCCUAUGUGGCGGUCAGAGAAGGAGUUAGAUCUCCUGGAAGAAACUGGAGUUACCAAUGGUUGUGAGCCAUUACAUGGGUAACUGGGGACCUGGACCCUUCGCAAGAGCACCAAGUGUUGUAAACUGCAAUCUCGUCUCUCCAGCCUUUUUGUUUGUUUAUUUUUUAAAAAAACAUUUUAGAUCUAUUUGUUUUAUGGUUAAAUUUUUUAUAAGAUCAUUAUAAAAAAUAAAAAUAAGAUAACAUAAAUAGAAUAGUAUCACAGUGCAUACCAGGUAUGUAGUAUAUAUUAAGUAUUUGUGUUAUUUUUUGACAUUAUUAAAAGUAUUUUUAAAUGUAGCGACAUUCAUUGAAAGAAUGGGGAAAUAAAGUCCCAUCCCGUCCACAUGAAUAUAGUCUGUGAAGUGUCCGAUGGUGUAUGUCUUCACAUGACUUGGCCAAGGCCUGAGGUCUGCAAGGCUCCAUGCAGCUUUUCUGAAAUGGCAGCUGGCUUCUCUUUGCUCUGCAACAAAGGAGUAAACCAGUUCUGGUCUCAGAAGCUUCAGCCUCCUUCCCCGGCUUCAGAUCACUCUGCAGUCUGGAUCGACCAAAUUGGUUAAAGCAGGAGCUGGAAGUGUUUCUCAUCCUCAGAAGGUGGAUCUGCCUUUAUAUGACAGCUGCCGCCCCACAAGCCAUGUCUUUCUGCUAGCCACAGCUUUUAAGUCAGACGGGGACAAUGGUAGGCAAACAUUGCUCAAAGUUGUUUCAGUUUUGUUGUUGACAUUAUAGUUAUACCAGCAAUGAAAAAGAAGUUGUGAGGUAAAUUUUUAAAAUAUUUACUUUUAAUUUUUUUUAUUACAUCUGUAAAUGUAUGUCUGUGUGUGGGCAUGAUCACAUGGGUACACUCUGAGAUCAGAGACAGUUAAGUCUCCUGGAGUUGGAGUUACAGACAGUUAGCCACUUAGUGUGGGUGCUGGGAAUUGAACAUGGGCCCUUUGCAAGACCAGUACUUGCUCUAUAACCAUUAAGCCAUCUUUCCAAUCCCAUAAAGCAAAAUCUUGACUUAUUCACCCAGUAGGAUGGUUGUCUUCUCUAGAAGCUCAGACUCUGGAUCAAAUAAGCAGAACUGACAGCAUGUGAGGUAUAGAGUCAAGUAAACAUCUGCUGUACCACGUUUUGGGGAUUCCUCAUAUGCUUUGCCUGGGCAUUAUUUAUUUUUUCCUUAUAGGCCCUGCAUAUAUACUAUGUUUUCCAGUGUUGUAUUUUUAUGGGAUUUCAGGAUUUCUGUAUGUGUGAACACGAGUGUCCCUCUUUGGCUUUUUUUUUCUUUUUGCUUCAUCAAAUUCCAGUUUGUUUUCAUUUAAUCUUACUUAAAAAUUAUUGGGGGGUUGGGGAUUUGGCUCAGUGGUAGAGCACUUGCCUAGCAACCACAAGGCCCUGGGUUCGGUCCCCAGCUCCGAAAAAAAAAGAAAAAAAAUUAUUGUUAUAUAAUUAUUAUUAUAUAAUGCCCGUUUGUAUUCUAAAAGAAAGAAUAUGGAUUUGGGUGGGUGGGGAGUUAACUGAGUGAGGCUCUGGUAGGAGUUGGCGGGGGGGGGGGGACCAUAAUCAGAAUUUAGUGUAUGAAAAAAUAGAAAUGCAUACCAAGGAGAAUUAUGCUAAUAUAUGACCUAUUAAUGGAAGGAACUGGAUUAAAGAUUUGAAAAUAGUUCUGUUGGCUAUUGUUCUAUUGGUUGUGGUGGCACACACCAGUCAGAUAUGCUGAGGAGGCAGAAGCAAAAGGAUCACAAGUUUGAGGCCAGCCUGGCUUUACCUUUAAAAGAUCCUGCUGUGCCUGAGGAAGAACAUGCCAAGCUUUAAGGUGCCCUAAGACUCCUCUUAGCAUACCCUUCGCAGCUCAUAGCACACAGAAACCUAGAUCCCCGGCUGUUAGGUCAUUAGUGAAUUCAGUAACUAUCUCACUGAGCUCUGUAUCCAGUAUUCUGAACUCUAUCAACAUUGUUUUGUGAUACCAUUUUGUGGUACCAGACAUAGAACUCAAGGCCCCAGCAACCUUUUUCUUUUUCUGUCUUUCUUUGUUUUUUUUGUUUUUUGUUUUUUUUUUCUUUAAAGACAAGGUUUCUCUGUGUGGCCCUGGCUGUCCUGGGACUUGCUCUGUACACCAGGUGGAUGGUGUUCGACCAUUUUCAAAAAUGUAUGUAACUAUACCUGGAUACUUUCUACUUGUGUUAUGUAAUUAUUAAAUAAGUUUAUGAGGUUGGGUUGAGCUUUUUCUUUAUGUUACAGAUAUGGAAAUAGAGGCUUAAAAAGUUUUUAAUUUCCUAUGAUCAUAUUAGAACUAAGAUUUGAAUCUAGUUUUUCUGACUUCUAAGUUACAACUUUUAGAGAAUAUAGUUAGAUCUCCACCUAGAUAUAUGAUUGAGUUACUUUUUAUUUAAUUUUAUUUAUAUUUUUACUUGUUUACUUUAUAUGGCACUCAUUGCCUCCUCCUCAGUCAUCCCCUCCCAGAAUCCUUCCCUCAUCUCCUCUUCCCCUGAGCAGAUGGGGCCCCCAGGUAUGAUUGAAUUAUAAAGAAAUCCAUGGGGGGCUGGGGAUUUAGCUCAGUGGUAGAGCGCUUACCUAGGAAGCGCAAGGCCCUGGGUUCGGUCCCCAGCUCCAAAAAAAAAAAAAAAAAAAAAAAAAAAAAAAGAAAUCCAUGGGACUGGAGAGAUAGAUAAUAGCUCAUGGGUUACUUAAAGGCACUGGCUGCUCUUAUAGAGGACUUAGAUUCAAUUCUCAGCAUCUACAUGGUGCUUUAUGACUGUCUGUAAUUCCAGUCCUAGGGGAAUAUAAUACCCUCUCUGGACUCCAUGGCACCAGCCAAAAUGUUCUUGCACAUAAAAUAAAAAAAAUAAAAUUUGAAAAAUAAAUAAACUAAAUUUAGCAUAGUGACCCAUGUCCUUACUCGAAGCACUGAGAGACAGAGGCAGGUAGAGUUUUAGGUCAGCCUGGUCUAUAGGGCAAGUUCCAGGACAGCCAGGCUACAGAGAUAUCCUGUCUCAAAAAUAAAGAAAUUAAUUAAUUUAGAAAAGAAAUAAACUGAUUGUAAAUAUAUACAAAAGGAGCAAGGUUUAGGUCAAUAUAUAUUGAGGGUAGAGUCUUAAGUUAUAUUUCAGAUUUCACUUUGCCUAGUAUAUAUUCCAACCUAGAAGGGGGAUAUCUACUGUUUUCUGAAUACUUGCUUUAGAGCUAACAGCCUCACAAUCAUAGUCAUCAUCAUAUGGGACUUUAGAAGACAAAAUCAUAGGAUUCUAAAAGUAAAUAUAAAAGUUAUAGCUUUGUAUGGUAACACAUCUGUAAUUGCAGCACUAGGAGGCUGAGGCAGGAGGAUUGCCUCAAGUUUGAAGUCCGCCUCUACUACAUAAUGAAUUAAAGGCCAGCCUGGGCUACUGUAUGAGACCCUAUCUAAAAACAAGAAACAAAACAAACAAAACCCCCAAAUCCCUAACAAAGAAGACUUUGACUACUGUAGACCUUGACUACUGCUGGGCACUUGUGGUGUGGUGCACACCUUUAAUCCAGCACUCAGAAGCAGAGGCGGGCAGAGCUCUGAGUUGGAGGCUAUAGUGUGAGUUCUAAAACAGCCAGAGUGAUACAGAGGAAACAAACAAACAAACAAAAAACAAAAACAAAAAGAGCUGGGCAGGCAGAUGUGGUGCAUGCCUUUAAUAUCUACACUCUUGAGAAACCCUGUUUCAAAAAUCUAAAACAAAAAAACAUGUAUACUCACACCCCUCCUCUAGACUACUGUGCAUGGUUCUAGCUAGAAACUUUUUGUUUUUACCUUGAAAUUUUUUUCUUUUACUUUGAAAAUUUUUGAUCUGGAACAUAGCUCCAUGAUAGAAGAUUGCCUAGCAUAUGUUUGAGUCCUCUGCACCACAACAUUUAAAAACCUGAAAAAAAUUUCCAGAGAAUCCUGUUUUAGAACAUUGUAAUUCAAGAUCAUCUUUGUCAUAUAUUUUAAUUUUUAAAUUAUUUAUGUGAUGGUGGUAGGGAUGGAUUGCACACCAGUGUGUGAAUAUGAAGGUCAUAGUUCUUUCCUUCCACCAUGUGGGUCCCAGGGAUCAAACUCAGGUCAGCAACCUUGGCAGCAAGCACCUUCGUUUCCUUGAAAUCAGAAAAGGGUGUUGGAUCCCAUGAAACUAGAGUUAGAGACUGUUUCAAUCUGCCAGGUGGAUGCUGGGAAUUGAACCCAGUCCUUUGAGAGAACACCCUAAGCCAUCAAUCCAGCCCCCAGGCUUAGAUUCUUGAAUUAGAUCUAAAGCUGGUCUUGUUUCUUCAUUUAGUAAGUCACUGACCUGCAAACUGGACCACAUGUCUGAAGUGUGGACAGCAGGUAAGUGCUGACAUUUUGAUGGCCACAUCAUGUUUCAAGGAUCUAUGAGAAGGCCUAUAAUGACCACACAAAGCUAGCCAAGAAUCUCCUUGCCAUGGACAAAUGGGAGAUGUUACUAAGUUUAGCUGACAUUAAGCUAUAAAUUAUUUGAAAGGUGGAAAUGGAUUCUCCUCAGAGGCUAUGUAGAAUUUUCAUUUAGUAUCAGGCACAUGUGUUGUAGGUGUUUUUGUCCUAGGAAAUAAAUUAUUAUCUUUCUUCUUACAUAUUUUUCUACUAUAUUGGGAAAAUACAUAUGUAAAAAAUUUAUAGUUGCUAUGUUUUGCCUAUAUAGUAGAAAUAUAGAAAAUAUAGCUACUAUAUUUUCCCAAUAUAGUAGAAAUACAUAGAAAAUAUAUAUAAUAUAUAGAAAUUAUAUAAAAAUCCAAUCUAUUUUACCAAUAUAACAUUAUAAUGCAGUUACUAUAGCUCUAUUAGGACCAGUACAUUAGUAGUUCCUGUUGGUCUUAGGUAUGAAAGCCUCACUUACCCAAAGUAAUACAUACAUCUAUGACAAAGUCUGGUCUAUAAUCUUAGUACUUCAGAUGUUUUUUAACAUACCUAAUGGCACUCCUCAGUUAGUGGUUAAAACCCUCCACAUUAUGAAUCCAGUCUUCAUACUUACUCCUUUCUUCCACUGGUUUCCUAUCUUUUACCCAUCCUGAGCUGUUCGGCACUCACUAAAUGUGAAUGUAUUGGUGUUCCAUAAACCACCUAAAAAUGUUUAGCAUAUAAAAGAUUCAGGUGUUAAAUUGCUGUUUGUAAAUCAGAAUUCAAACUUCAUUUGAGUUUAUAUCGAGAAUAUGCUAGAGAAAUAUAUGAAAUAUAGCAGUUUUGAUUCUCGAAAGGAGUAGGGGAAUAUAGCCAUUGUUAGAGCACUUGUGUAGCAUCCAGAGGCCCUGGAUUUGAUACCCAAAACUACAAAAAAAUAAAAAUAAAAUGAAAAGAGGGGUGUGGAAAUAUUACUCAGUGGUUACUUGACUAGCACGUAAGCUGGAGUUCAAUUUCCAGUCCAGUAAAGAAAGGAGAGGAGGAGAAGGAGGGUGGGAGGAAGGGGGGACAGAGGGAGACAGACAGACAGACAGACAGCAGGAGAUUGAAGCAGGAUUGCAAGUUCCCAGGCAGCCUGGGCUGACCAGAAUUGAAGGGCUAUAUGGUGAGAAUCUGUCCUUUAAAGGAAGGAAGGGAGGGAGGGAGGAGAGAAAGAAAGAGUUCUAGUGACAGUCACAAAUUUGGCGUUGUAUGACAAAACUUUUCCUGGAGAAAACCAAACACACGCAUUUACUCACCCCAGCUAGGGAUCCCAUGACAGUAUGGAUAUCACCUGCCCUGGCUAGGUUUAUGUCAACUUGACACAGAGUCAUCCGAAAGGAGGGAAUCUUAAUUGAGAAAAUGCCUCCAUAGAAUCUGGCUGUAGGGCAUUUCUUAUUUAUUGAUUGAUGGGGGAGAGCCUAGCCCAUCACAGGCUGGUGGAACCAUUCUCUUAGAAAGCAGGCUGAGUGUGCCAUGAAAAGCAAGCCAGCAAGCAGCACUUCCAUGGCCUCUGCAUCAGCUCCUGCCUCCCAGUUUCUUUGUUAAUGGACUACUAUGUGGAGGGGUAAGCCAAGUAAAUCUCCCCAAGUUGCUUUGGGUCAUGGUAUUUCAUCACAGCAAUGGUAACCCUAAACUAAGACACCAGCAAUGUUCAAUUUAGUAAUCCAGCGAGUUUUAUUAGAGUUACUUGCAGGAAUAUGGGUUAGGGGUUACUUAUAGGUUACUUAUAGAAAUGACUCAAAGACAACUGCAUCACAAAGUGCAACCCAGCAUGGGGGACAGCUCACAAACUGGAGCACACUUCAUACCGUGCAGCAGCUCAAUGGAUUGGAGCGUGUUCUUUCUUGGUGCCUCCGUUGGUCCAAACCUCUUCUAGGCGCCUCAGCUGGUUUCUGCUUCGUCCGGGCAGCUGGCCUGGUCUGAGUCUUUGGAGCUUGUGCUGCUCAGCUUCUCUUUUUCUCAGAGGCUCUGCUCUUAUUGCAUACUCUGGCAGGGAGUGGCUGAAUGAAUCUGGUCAGGUUCAGGGACUUCCUGAAGUUUCUUUGAGUAGUUUAUUGUCCCUAAGGAGCUACCCUGCAGGAUGCAAUGUUUCAAUCUCAUAGGAAACUGUUAAACAAUACUUAGCAAGCAAAAAUGUCCCCAUAGAAAUUGUAUAUAUCAAUGUUUUGGGCUGGAGAGAGGGUUCAGCUGUUAAAGACAAGGCUCACAGAAAAGACAAACAGUACUAAGCGAUAACAAAAUGUGGAUGGCCAGCUGAGAUGCUCACAUUCUGAGGGUGAAUUGUAAAUUGGAAAGUAAAUUGUAAGUUGGCUACUUCUAUUAGAGAUAAACUGCUAUGAAAUGAAUUGCUUUAAACCAGCAAAUUCUGUGUGUAAGAGUAUGCCCAACAGCUAUUUGUACAUAUGUUCAUCAAAAGAUGUGUGAAAAUGUUUAUAGUAGUGUUGUUCAUAAGAGCUUCAAAAAAGUAAAUUAUCCAAAUGUCCAUCAGAAAUAAAAUGUAAUGGAUUCUUACAUUAGAAUACUUUCUAGUGAUAAGAAUUAAUAUGGACUAUAGCAUAUUUAAUAUACAUUAAUUUUUCCCAUGUUGGUAAAAAUUUCCAGUAUAGAGUGAAAGAAAACCAAACCAAAAACAAAUUGUAAGAUUGCAGAGAGUAGGGCUAAGGAUGUAGCUUAGUGAUACGGGUACAAGUCUGUAGGGUAGCCCUCUAGCACUAAACAGACUAAAGAACUGUUUAUAUAGUAUAGUCAAAGCUAUCCCAAGCUGUUAGAACUCACAAUCAUGACUUCUUUUAGAGGAUUUUCAAGUAGAAGAAAUCACUAUUGGGUUGGGUUUUUUUUGUUUUUGUUUUUUGUUUUUUGGUCCAGUCGUUUAAAUUCGAAAAGUAAAAGUGAAAAUUCAUUGAGCUUAGGAUAUUUCAACUUAAACAUGUUCUUAAAAGAGCUGGAGCAAUAGCUCAGUGGGUAAGAGCAUUCACUGCUCUUGCAGAGGACCCAGGUUUGGUUCCAGCAUCCACGUGGCAGCUCCUAACUGUCUGUGAGUCCAGUUCCAGAGAAUCUGAUCCUCUGUAGGCCCCGAAAACACAUGACACACAUAUAUACACUCAGAUUAAAGCUUCUUUUUAAGACAGAGUUCUCUGUGUAGCCUUAGAUGUCCUGGAAUUUGCUCUGUAGACCAUGCUGGCUUCAGAGAUCCACCUGCUUCUGCCUCCCAAGUGCUAGAAUUGCAACCAUGCUCUACCACCGCCUAGGUGACUAAAUUUUUUUCAGAGAAGGAAAAGCAAAAAACAUUAACUCAUCUUCCAGAGGAUUUAAGUACAAUUUCAAGCACCCAUGUCAAAUGACUCUUAACUGUAUCACCACCUUCUGGCUUCUUCAGGCAACUAUAUUAAGUGUGACAUAUAUAUGCUUGUACACACAUACACACAAGAAUACACAAGCAUUUAUACACACACACACAUUUGUACGUACAUACACAAAUUCACACAUACAUAUGCAUACACAACACAAUGCAUACACACAUAUAUGCAUACGCAUGUACACAUGUUCAUAAAUACAUAUACAUACACACAUACACACAAAAUAAAUCUGGAGAGAAAAAUUCUUCCUUAAAAAGUGUAUUCCUUGGGGUUGGGGAUUUAGCUCAGUGGUAGAGCGCUUGCCUAGGAAGCGCAAGGCCCUGGGUUCGGUCCCCAGCUCCGAAAAAAAAAAAAAAAAAAAAAAAAAAAAGAACCAAAAAGUGUAUUCCUUUCUUGAUGUCCCUCUUAGGAGUUCUUUCUUAACUUUCCUUAAUUUAUAUUUUCCCUGUUCCAAACAAAACAAAACAGAAACAAACCCUCUUUUUCUUAAAACGUUAGGGAAGGGCUAAAAUUUGGAGAUUUUGAGCUGGCCUUACUCAUUAGCUAGAGCAUCGCUCACAGUUAAAGGCCAUCCUGCUUUAUGACAGUGAGUUCUAAGCCAACUUGGGUUCCAGAAUGAGACCCUGCCUCAGAAAAAUACCCCUACUUCCAGCUAAGAAAUUAUUUUAAAUUCUAGUUUAGUUAAUUUUUUGUUUGUAGUUUAUGGGAGAAUCUCCUAUUUUUUGGUUCUUGGUUUGUGUUUGUCUGAUUUAGGAGAACUAUGACUGACUGUAUUUUACACAUAACAUACAGGACUCAUCUUUUCUGUUGAACUUGAAGAAUUAUAUUGGAUGCUGUGGAACGAAAAGGCACCAUGUGGAUAGUUAGAGGAUUUAAGGGAAUUUGUAGCUGAUAGAAGUGGUGAACUGGAAAGGGUCAACUCUGCUACGAUGAGAAGGCUUUGGAUUCACACAUGAGAUGAUUGAUUUUCUUAGAACCAGAAAGAAAAAAAAAAGCAGUAGGAGAUGGGAAGUGAAGGAAGAGCUACAGGAGAUAGUGAAGAGGACUCAAGCCGUUUUUUAACUGUCAGGAAAAUGAUUUUGCUUUGCAGUUGAAUCCAUUCCAGGGGAUCUUGGUGGCUGAUCUGUAGUCUGUGCAUGUUUAAGGGUCUUAUUUAGAAUAAACUCACUGCUCCCAAAUUAUGACUCUGGUGUUCUAAGUAGAGACAGCUGUUUCAGUUUGGCUUCCCUGGUAGAGUCACCUCUGUCCAUGCAGCUUUGUGCCUGAUAUUUGUCCCCCAAAUCACAGAGGAAGACAGGUCUUUCAGUGGUGUGACCUGAUUUCACCAGGGCCAGGGGAUGAAGAAAGGGUGGUUGGCUCUGUGGUUCUUCCCAGUGUGUGCUCACUUUGGCAGACCAAAAAAGCAGUUGUGAAUGUGGACCAAAGAGUGACAGCUGGCUUAGCAUUUUGUGUACACUAACAAAAGAACUGAGCAUGAACAAUGGAAAGAUUUCAUAAUGUGAAAGCAUAUUCCAUGUAUGAUAUAAGUUGGGUUAUUUAUCCACUUUUAUGGAAGGGUCACUACUGUGGAAAGCUUUGUGUUCUGAGUACACACAAGUAAACCAUAUUGCAGUUAGUACUCUUCCUGAAAUAGGAAAGUGAUUUAUGAGGUGUGGGCUCUUAUGUGAAAGCAAACAGAACUGGUUACUGUGUGGGCCUAUAAAAUUCCUCUGCCAUCUCAGUGGUGUGGUUUACAAGAAGAUGAUGAGGCAAGCUGGCUGGCCCUCCUCACCUGGGCUCAGCUGCCCCAAAUACGUGUGAUAUUGAAGGUUAUUUAUGAGCUCUUCUGGACUGCCAUUCGGUACUCUUCCGUCCUGGUAGUGAAGAUUUGCGAGCAGAAUAUAGACGCUCUCAUUAAUCUUCUUGGUUUUGUUGAGGAUUUCUUGCCGAGUGGAGCUGCUAUUGAAGAAUGGAUUGGCCUUUUCCACUGAACUGCAAUGGCUCAGAUUAAUAUUAAUCCCUUUAAUGCCGUAGUUCAUGAUAUAGUCAUUAGGUGACUUGGAACUAAUCGUGUCCUCCUAACUAGUGUGAUUUAUUAAACACACAUAGAGAUUGAGUCUGAAUACAGCUAGGCAGAAUCAGCAGCAAAUAAAUACCUCUGUGCAUCUGUAUUAAUGCUGGUUGAUUGGGGCACAGUUGCAGUCUGGCUGGGGAGAAACAGGGCAAAAGGAAGCUGGGCUCUCAGAAGCAAUAGUAUUUACUCCUCCGUACCCCUUAAUUUACAUAGCAAAACUAAUAUAAACUCUUAUACAAGAGAAUCAGUAUCAGUAACAAGGAAUUUUAAUUCUGUGGAUGUGAAAUCAAAGAAGGGAAAAUACUACAUAAAUACUUGAAAAACUUUAAAGGCAGGCUUAAAUUAAGAAAAAAAAUUCCUGGAAGAACAACAAUAUCAACCAACCAGAUCCCACCAGAGCUCCCAGGGACUAAGCCACAACCAAUGAGUACACAUGAAGGGACCCAUGGCUCCAGCCACCUAUGUAGCAGAGGAUGGCAUUGUCCAGCAUCAAUAGGAGGAAAACCCUUGGUCCUGUGAAGGCUCAUUUCCCCAAUGUAGGGGAAUGCCAGAGUGUUGAGGUUGGAGUGGGAGUAUCCUCGUAGAAGUAGGGGGAGAGGGAAGGGAUGACAUUUGAAAUGUAAAUACAUAAAAUAUCCGAGAAAAAUAGAAUUUAAAAAAAAGAAAAGAAAAAUUCCUUAAACUUAAUUAUUUGAAUGAUUUCUCUUCUAUGCUGCUGAUGUUCCUCCUCCUCCCUCUGUCUCUCUGGGUCUCUGUCUCUCUGUGUCUCUGUCUCAGUCUAUCUCUCUCUGUGCAUGUGCGUGUGUAUGUGUGUGUGUGUCCCAAGCUGUCUCUGUAGCCCUGGCUAGCCUCAAACCCAUAAUUUUUCUGUUUCAUCUUCUUAAGUGCUAAGAUUACAAGUGUGGGCCAUCACUUUAGGCUUCUUUUAACAUUUUAAGAGUAACUAUUCAAACCAGAACUCAGUACUGGGAAUACAGGGCUGUGCUUCCAGCAUAGGAAGCAAAAAGGAUCCUGAGUUUGAGGUCAGCAUAAGCUGCAUAGAAAGACUAGUGAGAUGGCAGAGUAGCUAAGAACAUUUGUUGUUCUGGAAAGGAUCCUAGUUCAAUUCCCAACACCACGUGGUAGCUCACAAGUUUUGAGGUUUGGUUGGUUGCAAUGUAUUGUAAUGCAAAAUACCUGCUCUGGUUGCCUCCGGACAAGGAGAUCCUCAUUUACACGUAGUGGUGCUAGGUAACCUUAUUCCUUAAUCUAAAACUAUUUGGUCAAAUAAAGAUGCCUACAGCCUGAAUCUGGGCAGAAAAGAAGUAGGGACUUGGAGUCUGAGGCAAAGACCAGGAGAAGAAAGAGAUGAAGAGAAGAGAAGAUUCCAUAGGAUAGGUGAAUUGUGAGAACAUGGCCAUGAGGGCUGGCCAGUUGGAGUAAGAGGGGCCCAAGUAGAACAUGGCAAAUUAUAACAGGGUUAUAGAGGGAAAUAGAAAAAUAGCUUAGAGGAUAGGUAUCUGCCCAGCUCUAGUGCAUUUAAGGCUAGUUAUAAAUAUAAAGGUUUUUUUACCUUUCAUUUGGGAACUGAAUGAUCAAAGGUGAGGUAGAAACUCCAAUUAAUUUUUUCUUUAACAUUUUGAUGCCCACUUUAGGCAUCAUUUCUAGAAGUUAUGCUUGGUGCUUCCUCCCAGCCCCAUGCUCCUAGAAAUAAGACUCAGACUCAGAAUAUAUAUAAAAAUACCUUGAUCACAUUGCUAGGCUUUCUCUUAUUAGGUCAUAACUUACAUUAUCCCAUUUAUUCUAAUCUACAGUCUGCCAUGUGUCUGAUUACCUGUGCUCACCUACCAUGUGUCUGUCUUCUUGGACGGAUCUCC